rfam:Canis lupus familiaris chromosome 16, whole genome shotgun sequence.
ACCUGGGUGGCUCAGUGGUUGAGCGUCUGUCUUCAGCUCAGGUUGUGAUCCCAGGUC